rnacentral:rRNA from 1 species
GUCUGACACCAAAGUCGCCCUCAAUGCACCCGAUCCCGUUGGAUCUCAGACAGCUAAGCAGGAUGGAACCUCGAUAGUGCAUGGAUGGGCGACCCCCAUGCAGAACAGCUGUUACAGGCA